rnacentral:rRNA from 1 species
AUUGCACGCUGGCGGCAGGCCUAACACAUGCAAGUCGAACGAGUGGCGGACGGGUGAGUAAUGUCUGGGAAACUGCCCGAUGGAGGGGGAUAACUACUGGAAACGGUAGACAAUACCGCAUACCAUCGGAUGUGCCCAGAUGGAAUUAGCUAGUAGGUGGGGUAACUGCUCACCUAGGCCACGAUCCCUAGCUGGUCUGAGAGGAUGACCAGCCACACUGGAGCUGAGACACGGUCCAGACUCCUACGGAAGGCAGCAAUGGGGAUUAUUGCACAAGGGGCGCAAGCCUGAUGCAGCCAUGCCGCGUGUAUGAAGAAGGCCUUCGGGUUGUAAAGUACUUUCAGCGAGGAGGCGUUACUCGCAGAAGAAUCACCGGCUAACUCCGUGCCAGCAGCCGCGGUAAUAC